UACGGAGGGGGCUAGCGUUGUUCGGAAUUACUGGGCGUAAAGGGCGCGUAGGCGGCCAGCGCAAGUCAGUUGUGAAAUCUCCGGGCUUAACUCGGAACGGUCAACUGAUACUGCGCGGCCAGAGUGCAGAAGGGGCAACUGGAAUUCUCGGUGUAGCGGUGAAAUGCGUAGAGAUCAGGAAGAACACCCGUGGCGAAGGCGGCCCACUGGGCCGGUACUGACGCUGAGGCGCGAAGGCGUGGGGAGCGAACGGG
rnacentral:rRNA from 1 species